GACGAACGCUGGCGGCGUGCCUAAUACAUGCAAGUCGAGCGGACGGAUGGGAGCUUGCUCCCAGACCGUCAGCGGCGGACGGGUGAGUAACACGUGGGCAACCUGCCUGUAAGACUGGGAUAACUCCGGGAAACCGGGGCUAAUACCGGAUAACUCUUUCCCUCACAUGAGGGAAAGCUGAAAGAUGGCAUCUCGCUAUCACUUACAGAUGGGCCCGCGGCGCAUUAGCUAGUUGGUGAGGUAACGGCUCACCAAGGCGACGAUGCGUAGCCGACCGGAGAGGGUGAUCGGCCACACUGGGACUGAGACACGGCCCAGACUCCUACGGGAGGCAGCAGUAGGGAAUCUUCCGCAAUGGACGAAAGUCUGACGGAGCAACGCCGCGUGAGUGAUGAAGGUUUUCGGAUCGUAAAACUCUGUUGUCAGGGAAGAACAAGUACCGGAGUAACUGCCGGUACCUUGACGGUACCUGACCAGAAAGCCACGGCUAACUACGUG
rnacentral:rRNA from 1 species